UCUACCUGCAUUCUUGGCACUUUUUUUUCCACCAUUUUUUCGCAGGGUCUCUCUCUGUGCCGACACUAUCUUCUCCAAAAAAAAUUUGAUUCUUUUUCCAUUUUGAUCUUUAAAAAAGUCAUCUGCUUAUGUAAUCUUUGUCGCGGCUCUUAGAACCCAGCUUUUUUUAUUUUUAUUUUUUUUCAGUUCAUCGUCCUUUUAGAUUUAUUUCUAUACGAUUGUGCUGGGUGUUGAAAUUAGGUGUAGCAGGUGGGGUGAUGGUAUUUGGCGGCAUUUUCAUUUUAAAAACAUGCUGAGCUCUAAAGGUGAACUGACACGAGAUUUAGAGGUUGCAAUGAUUAAUCCAACCCCUGAGAGGUUGUCCAGCAAUAUUAUAAUCACAGAAUCUAUGCACAUUCAUGGAGAAAUAGAAUCUUUUAAUGUGUUGGGUUUGUAAAGCUGUUAGUCAAAAAGGAGAGAAAGAUGCCGUUUGACGAGAAAACUAAGGAUGUUCUUGAGAAUAACAUGAAGAAGGAGGAGAAAAAUGUGUUGGUCGGGAUUCGCAUAGACAGCGAAAGCUGGGAGCUUCUCGACUGGGCUCUUGUGAAAAUUGCAGAACCAGGAGACUGUGUCGUUGCUAUUCAUGUCUGUCAAAGCUCUGAUCAUGCUUUGAAGAAGAAGCCUUUGUUGGAUGCCUACUUAGAAGUAUAUGAAGGUUUAUGUUCUGAAAAGAAGGUAGGUCUUACAGGAGAGGUCUUAAUAGGAAGGUCUGUUAGAAAGACUCUGGUUAGAGAGGCGAAGAGCUGUGCUGCUGCAGCUGUAAUUGUCGGGAUAAGCAAGCGAAGAGCUCUAAGGGGUAGGACUUCCAUGGCUAGAUCUUGCUCUAAGCAGUUACCUCCAAGCACGGAUGUUUUGACCAUGCACAAUGGGAAGAUUGUCUUCAGAAGGUGCAACAAUAAUCAACUACCAGGUCUAAACGGAGAUCCUAGACCAAGUUUUUGUCGUCACAAGAACUCAUCUGUCAAGGACUAUGAGUCUGAGUAUGGUGAUUCUGAAACUGGGACUGAUAUAUCCAGUUUCGAGGUGACAGGAAGCUCAAAACAAGAAUCAAGGGACAGUGGUGGUGGGGAGACAAAAGAUGAGAUGUUGAACAUUGUCUACGAAGAUGAAGAAGUUUCUUCGAGAACGAGUUCUCAUUUUGUGGGAGACUUUUUGGAACCAAGACCUGGUUGGCCCUUGCUCCGCAAACAUAGUCCUCUGUCUCCACAACCACAGCUUACACAGAAAAUGUCUGUAGUGCAAUGGGUGAUGAGCUUGCCUGACCGUUCCCUGCAGCAAAAACUACGAUCUUCUACUUUUGAAGAAAAUCCACUGGAAAAUGAGUCAAGUCAUGUCGUGGGUGAAGAUGAUAGUCAUACUUCAUCUGUAACAAACAUGCCAUGGACAGAAUUGGAUAUUCCACCGAAACCGAACCCUCCUGGUUGCAAAUGGUUCAGUUAUGAGAUUCUAAGAACCGCCACUUCUCAAUUCUCCUCAGAAAAUCUAAUUGGCAAAGGAGGGUCCAACUGCGUGUAUAAGGGGACACUUCCAGAUGGCAAGCUAGUUGCAAUAAAGAUCCUGAGAACAUCCAAAGAAGCACAAAAGGAUUUUGCCCAUGAAGUUGAAAUCAUCUCUUCGGUGAAACACAAAAACAUCACUCCUCUGAUUGGUAUUUGUGUCAAAGAUAAUGAUCUUAUUUCUGUUUAUGAUUUCUCGUCUAAAGGCAGCUUAGAGGACAAUCUACAUGGUAAGGAGGAUAAACACGCAUUGUCAUGGGGAACGAGGUUUAACAUAGCUAUUGGAGUAGCAGAAGCUAUAAAUUAUUUGCAUACUGAAUGUCCUCGCCCUGUGAUUCACAGAGACAUUAAGUCUUCAAACAUACUUCUGUCGGAUGGAUUUGAACCUCAGUUGUCUGAUUUUGGCCUUGCAAUCUGGGGACCAACCACAUCAUCCUUUCUUACUCAAAGUGAUGUUGUUGGUACAUUUGGCUAUCUUGCUCCUGAAUAUUUCAUGUAUGGUAAAGUCAGCGACAAGGUUGAUGUCUACGCUUUUGGUGUUGUUUUACUCGAGUUGCUAUCAGGAAGAGAACCAAUAUGCUCUGAGACUAGUAAGGGGGAGGAAAGUUUGGUUAUGUGGGCAAGGCCCAGACUAGAGAGUGGGAAUGUGAAAGGCAUACUGGACCCUGAUUUGAAUGGAAAGUUUGACGAAGUUCAAAUGCAGAGAAUGGUUCUUGCUGCUACCCUCUGCCUCACACGAGCAUCUAGGCUUCGCCCAAAAAUAAGAGAGAUUCUGAAGCUUCUACGAGGGGAAAAUGAUGUUGAGAAGGGGACAUGCUCUCGAAAUGAAGAUCAAGAGAACCAGGAUGGCAUUGAUGAUGAAGUUUAUCCGAAUUCAAGCGCAGAGUUACACUUGAGCCUAGCAAUGUUAGACGUUGAUGAUGACUCUAUUUGGACAUCAUUUAGUAGCAUGGAACAACGAAAUAGCCUUUAUUUAGAUGAAUAUUUAAAAGAUAGAUGGAGCAGAUCUUCAAGCUUUGAUUAAUUUUUCUUUGUUGUUUUUCUUUUCCAGUCACUUGUUUUUACAAUCAUGUCCGCCAGAGACUUGACUGUGGGGAGUUUGUAUCAGUACGGUUGAGUGAAAGAACACAAAAGAAAUAACAACACCCAGUGGGCGAGGUGGCAUGUAGGCUGUAGGGACCAAAUUAUGUAGAAGCCCCAUUUGAGGCUAUAAUCAGAACUGUAUGGUGUAUGGCAAAGCAUAUAUGUCUCCCUCCUGCAAGUAAUAAGCGCAUGGGUAUAAAAUGAAGCUUCCAUUAUUCAAUUCCUCAUCUUUGGAUUAGAUGUUCUGCUCAUGCAUCUCACAGGCAACCUUCUGUAAUGGAACCAUUCUCGAUCAUCAAACUCGGCUUCACGUACUUUUUCCAUUAAUGGGGGAACCCAGUUGGCGAUUAAGUCUCUGACCAGUUGUAGUUCUGUCUGCAAUUGGCUGUUUGCAGAGGAACCAAAUGCCGGACACAUUUCAGUUUUCAGUCUGGUAAUAGAACCUUUCGUCAUCGUAGAGCAUACUGGUCUUCCAGACUUCUCUUUUGGAUCCUUAAAGUCAGCCCGGAAAAUGCUAGCUGUUGAGAUAAUAAGAUUGUUGGUAUAUGCAUACAGGUGUUUGAGCAAGAACACAAGAAAAGCAGUACAAUCUCCCAAAA